UAAAGGUCUAGUCCUGGCUUUAACAUCAGCUACUACCCAAUUUACACAUGCAAGUACCCGCACACCCGUGAGAAUGCCCUGAACCCUCUCUAUGAGGAACAGGAGCUGGCAUCAGGCUCACAAACGUAGCCCAAAACGCCUUGCUAAGCCACACCCCCAAGGGAAAUUCAGCAGUGAUAGACAUUAAGCUAUAAGAGAAAACUCGACUUAAUUAGGAGUAAUUAGGGCCGGUAAAACUCGUGCCAGCCACCGCGGUUAUACGAGAGGCUCAAGCUGACACCUCACGGCGUAAAGCGUGAUUAGAAAUAUAAUUAACUAAAGCUAAACACCCCCUAAGCUGUAAUACGCCCCCAAGAGGUAGAGAAUCUUUGACGAAAGUAGCUUUAACAGUUUGAAUUCACGAUAGUUAAGAAACAAACCGGGAUUAGAUACCCCACUAUGCUUAACCGUAAACAAUGAUGGUAUAUACACACCACUAUCCGCCAGGGAAUAACGAGCACCCAGCUUAAAACCCAAAGGACUUGGCGGUAUCUCAGACCCACCUAGAGGAGCCUGUCCUAUAAUCGAUACACCCCGCUAAACCUCCCCUUUUCUUGCUAAAUCCGCCUAUAUACCGCCGUCGCCAGCUUACCUUCUAAGAGAAUGGUAGUGAGCCCAAAUAAUAAAAUUAAAAACGUCAGGUCAAGGUGUAGCGGAUGAAAAGGAAUGAGAUGGGCUACAUUUUCUGACCCAGAAAACACGAAAAUACAAAUGAAAUGUAUAUUGAAGGUGGAUUUAGUAGUAAAAUGAAAAUAGAGUGUUCUUUUGAAACCGGCCCUGAGAUACGUACACACCGCCCGUCACCCUCCUCAACCGCACUAGUAUUAACAUGUAUAGUGCAUAGAGAGGAGGCAAGUCGUAACAUGGUAAGUGUACCGGAAGGUGUACUUGGAAAAAUA
rnacentral:ncRNA from 1 species